ensembl:lncRNA
GGUGGAGUAUUUUAGUGGUAGUGGUUAAUGUAGUAUAGUGGAGUAUUUUAGUGUAGUGUUAAUGUAGUAUAGUGGAGUAUUUAGUGUAGUGUAGUGUUAAUGUAGUAUAGUGGAGUAUUUUAGUGUAGUGUUAAUGUAGUAUAGUGGAGUAUUUUAGUGUAGUGUUAAUGUAGUAUAGUGGAGUAUUUUAGUGUAGUGUUAAUGUAGUAUAGUGGAGUAUUUUAGUGUAUUGUAGUGUUAAUGUAGUAUAGCGAGUAUUUUAGUGUAGUGUUAAUGUAGUAUAGUGGAGUAUUUUAGUGUAGUGUUAAUGUAGUAUAGUGGAGUAUUUAGUGUAGUGUUAAUGUAGUAUAGUGGAGUAUUUUAGUGUAUUAUAGUGUAAUGUAGUAUAGUGGAGUAUUUUAGUGUAUUAUAGUGUAGUGUUAAUGUAGUAUAGUGGAGUAUUGUAGUGUAUGUAGUGGUUAAUGUAGUAUAGUGGAGUAUUUUAGUGUAGUGUAGUGUUAAUGUAAUUAUGUGGAGUAUUUUAGUGUAGUGUUAAUGUAGUAUAGUGGAGUAUUUUAGUGUAGUGUUAAUGUAGUAUAGUGGAGUAUUUUAGUGUAGUGUUAAUGUAGUAUAGUGGAGUAUUUUUAGUGUAGUGUUACUGUAGUAUAGUGGCGUAUUUUAGUGUAGUGUUAAUGUAGUAUAGUGGAGUAUUUUAGUGUCGUGUUAAUGUAGUCUAGUGGAGUCUUUUAGUGUAGUGUUAAUGUAGUAUAGUGGAGUAUUUUAGUGUAGUGUUAAUGUAGUAUAGUGGAGUAUUUUAGUGUAGUGUAGUGUUAAUGUAGUAUAGUGGAGUAUUUAGUGUAGUGUAGUGUUAAUGUAGUAUAGUGGAGUAUUUUAGUGUAGUGUAGUGUUAAUGUAGUAUAGUGGAGUAUUUUAGUGUAGUGUUAAUGUAGUAUAGUG